rnacentral:rRNA from 1 species
CGCGUAGGCGGGAAGUCAAGUUAGGGGUGAAAGGCCUGGGCUCAACCUAGGAACUGCCUCUAAAACUGGCUAUCUAGAGUCCGGGAGAGGAUGGCGGAAUUCCCAGUGUAGAGGUGAAAUCCGUAGAUAUUGGGAAGAACACCAGUGGCGAAGGCGGCCAUCUGGUCCGGCACUGACGCUGAGGCGCGAAAGCGUGGGGAAGCAAACA